rnacentral:tRNA from 1 species
GGAUUGUAGCUCAGUGGUAGAGCGCUUGCCUAGCAUGUGUGAAGCACUGGGUUUGAUUCUCAGUACCA